rnacentral:rRNA from 1 species
CGGACGGGUGAGUAGCACGUGGAUAACCUACCUAUAAGACUGGGAUAACUUCGGGAAACCGGAGCUAAUACCGGAUAAUAUAUUGAACCGCAUGGUUCAAUAGUGAAAGACGGUUUUGCUGUCACUUAUAGAUGGAUCCGCGCCGCAUUAGCUAGUUGGUAAGGUAACGGCUUACCAAGGCAACGAUGCGUAGCCGACCUGAGAGGGUGAUCGGCCACACUGGAACUGAGACACGGUCAAG